rnacentral:rRNA from 1 species
GAUGAACGCUGGCGGCGUGCCUAAUACAUGCAAGUCGAGCGAACGGACGAGAAGCUUGCUUCUCUGAUGUUAGCGGCGGACGGGUGAGUAACACGUGGAUAACCUACCUAUAAGACUGGGAUAACUUCGGGAAACCGGAGCUAAUACCGGAUGAUAUUUUGAACCGCAUGGUUCAAAAGUGAAAGACGGUCUUGCUGUCACUUAUAGAUGGAUCCGCGCUGCAUUAGCUAGUUGGUAAGGUAACGGCUUACCAAGGCAACGAUGCAUAGCCGACCUGAGAGGGGGACGGGCCCACCUGGACCUGAGCCAGGGCCCAAACCCCACGGGGAGGCAGCAGGGGGAAUUCUUCCCAAAGGGGGAAAACCCUGAGGGAGAAACCCGGGGGGGGGUAUGAAGGUUUUCGGAUCGAAAACCCUUGUUUUUAGGGAAAAACAUUUGUGAAAGAAACGGUGACAUUCUUGGGGGUCCUAAACAAGAAAGCACGGCUAACAACCUG